rnacentral:lncRNA from 1 species
CAGGAACCCAAAGGUCACUGUCAGCAUUUUAAACACCUGACUGAAACAGGAGAAGUUGCAGCCCAGCACAUACUGUGGGCCUCAAUCUAUGUGGAUCCAACAGUGUCACAGCACACACUGUGGGCAUGAAUUUAGGCAGAACCAAACAGAUGAACAAUAGAUGAACUGGAGCUACUCAAAGGAGAUCCAGGCUUGUCUGGGUGAUUAAAGCUGGAUUGGUGUUCUGUGAGCAGCUCUCCUGGAC